rnacentral:rRNA from 1 species
GAAUCUUGCGCAAUGGGCGAAAGCCUGACGCAGCAACGCCGCGUGCGGGAUGAAGGCCUUCGGGUUGUAAACCGCUUUCAGCAGGGACGAAAAUGACGGUACCUGCAGAAGAAGCCCCGGCCAACUACGUGCCAGCAGCCGCGGUAACACGUAGGGGCGAGCGUUGUCCGGAUUUAUUGGGCGUAAAGAGCUCGUAGGCGGCUCACUAAGUCGGGUGUGAAACCUCCAGGCUCAACCUGGAGACGCCACCCGAUACUGGUGUGGCUAGAGUCCGGUAGGGGAGCAUGGAAUUCCUGGUGUAGCGGUGAAAUGCGCAGAUAUCAGGAGGAACACCAGUGGCGAAGGCGGUGCUCUGGGCCGGAACUGACGCUGAGGAGCGAAAGCAUGGGGAGCAAACAG